AUUGAACGCUGGCGGCAUGCCUUACACAUGCAAGUCGAACGGUAACAGGUCUUCGGAUGCUGACGAGUGGCGAACGGGUGAGUAAUACAUCGGAACGUGCCCGAUCGUGGGGGAUAACGAGGCGAAAGCUUUGCUAAUACCGCAUAAGAUCUAUGGAUGAAAGCAGGGGACCGCAAGGCCUUGCGCGAACGGAGCGGCCGAUGGCAGAUUAGGUAGUUGGUGGGGUAAAGGCUUACCAAGCCUACGAUCUGUAGCUGGUCUGAGAGGACGACCAGCCACACUGGGACUGAGACACGGCCCAGACUCCUACGGGAGGCAGCAGUGGGGAAUUUUGGACAAUGGGCGCAAGCCUGAUCCAGCCAUGCCGCGUGCAGGAUGAAGGCCUUCGGGUUGUAAACUGCUUUUGUACGGAACGAAAAGCCUUCUUCUAAUAAAGGGAGGUCAUGACGGUACCGUAAGAAUAAGCACCGGCUAACUACGUGCCAGCCGCCGCCGUAACAC
rnacentral:rRNA from 1 species